rnacentral:rRNA from 1 species
UACGAAGGGUGCAAGCGUUACUCGGAAUUACUGGGCGUAAAGCGUGCGUAGGUGGUGAGUUAAGUCUGUCGUGAAAGCCCCGGGCUCAACCUGGGAAUGGCGAUGGAUACUGGCUCGCUAGAGUGCGGUAGAGGAGAGUGGAAUUCCCGGUGUAGCAGUGAAAUGCGUAGAUAUGCGGAGGAACACCGAUGGCGAAGGCAAUCCCCUGGACCUGUACUGACGCUCAUGCACGAAAGCGUGGGAGCAAACAGG